GGGUGCGAUCAUACCAUCAAAACUCCGCAGCUAAGCGUGGUUGGGCAAGAGUAGUACUAGGAUGGGUGACCUCCUAGGAAGUCCUCGUGUUGCACCCC
rfam:Beta vulgaris subsp. vulgaris 0533.scaffold01098.con0003.1, whole genome shotgun sequence.